GGGGGUAUAGCUCAGGGGUAGAGCAUUGGACUGCAAACCAACAGGUGUCCGGUUCAAUUCCAGAUACCCCCU
rnacentral:tRNA from 1 species